GACGAACGCUGGCGGCGUGCUUAUCACAUGCAAGUCGAACGAGGUCCACUGCGUAGCAAUACAAGGGAAGACCUAGUGGCGAACGGGUGCGUAACACGUGAGGAACUUGUCCCGGUCUCUGGGAUAACAGUUGGAAACGACUGCUAAUACCGGAUGACGUCGGAAUCUCGCAUGGGAUACUGACGAAAGGGUUACUGGAUCGGGAGAGCCUCGCGGCCUAUCAGCUUGUUGGUGAGGUAACGGCUCACCAAGGCAUCGACGGGUAGCUGGUCUGAGAGGAUGAUCAGCCACACUGGGACUGAGACACGGCCCAGACUCCUACGGGAGGCAGCAGUGGGGAAUCUUGCGCAAUGGGCGAAGCCUGACGCAGCAACGCCGCGUGCGGGAAGAAGGCCCUGGGUUGUAACCGCUUUCAGUAGGACGAAAUGACGGUACCUGCAGAAGAAGGUGCGGCCAACUACGUGCCAGCAGCCGCGGUAAU
rnacentral:rRNA from 1 species